rnacentral:rRNA from 1 species
UACGUAGGGACCAAGCGUUGUUCGGAUUUACUGGGCGUAAAGGGCGCGUAGGCGGCGUGGUAAGUCACUUGUGAAAUCUCUGAGCUUAACUCAGAACGGCCAAGUGAUACUGCUGUGCUAGAGUGCAGAAGGGGCAAUCGGAAUUCUUGGUGUAGCGGUGAAAUGCGUAGAUAUCAAGAGGAACACCUGAGGUGAAGACGGGUUGCUGGGCUGACACUGACGCUGAGGAGCGAAAGCUAGGGGAGCAAACGGG